GGCGGCGUGCCUAACACAUGCAAGUCGUACGAGAAAGCCGGCUUCGGCUGGUGAGUAAAGUGGCGCACGGGUGAGUAACGCGUGGAUAAUCUGCCCUUAAGUGUGGAAUAACGUACCGAAAGGUGCGCUAAUACCGCAUAAUGGCCUGGCAACACAAGUUGUCCGGCCAAAGAAGGCCUCUGUUUACAAGCUUUCGCUUCAGGAUGAGUCCGCGUACCAUUAGCUUGUUGGUGGGGUAAUGGCCUACCAAGGCUGCGAUGGUUAGCUGGUCUGAGAGGAUGAUCAGCCACACUGGAACUGAGACACGGUCCAGACUCCUACGGGAGGCAGCAGUGAGGAAUAUUGCGCAAUGGGGGCAACCCUGACGCAGCAACGCCGCGUGAGUGAGGAAGGUUUUCGGACUGUAAAGCUCUGUCGAGCGGGAAGAAGUGUACCAUGGCUAAUAUCCAUGAUAUUUGACGGUACCGCUAGAGGAAGCACCGGCUAACUCCGUG
rnacentral:rRNA from 1 species